CCUACGGGAGGCAGCAGUGAGGAAUAUUGGUCAAUGGGCGCGAGCCUGAACCAGCCAAGUCGCGUGAGGGAAGAAGGUCCUAUGGAUUGUAAACCUCUUUUGUCGGGGAGCAAAAGACGCCACGCGUGGCGUUCCGAGAGUACCCGACGAAAAAGCAUCGGCUAACUCCGUGCCAGCAGCCGCGGUAAUACGGAGGAUGCGAGCGUUAUCCGGAUUUAUUGGGUUUAAAGGGUGCGCAGGCGGAAGAUCAAGUCAGCGGUAAAAUUGAGAGGCUCAACCUCUUCGAGCCGUUGAAACUGGUGUUCUUGAGUGAGUGAGAAGUGUGCGGAAUGCGUGGUGUAGCGGUGAAAUGCAUAGAUAUCACGCAGAACUCCGAUUGCGAAGGCAGCAUACCGGCGCUCAACUGACGCUCAUGCACGAAAGUGUGGGGAUCGAACAGGAUUAGAUACCCUUGUAGUC
rnacentral:rRNA from 1 species